rnacentral:rRNA from 1 species
GACUAGCUUAUGUCCGUAGUCGAGACUGAGAGGUCGAUCGAUCACAUUGGGUCUGAUAUAACCGCAAUACGUAUAGUACAGCAGUGAGGAUUAUUGGUCAAUGGCCUAACGGCUGAACCAGCAACUUGGGAGAAUGGAUAUAUAUAUUAGAGAUAAUAUAUAGUACCGACUGUGUCGGAUAAAGUUCUAGAUAGAAUAAUGAUAAUGACAAUUUUCUAUCUAUAUGUCUUGACCAAAUCUUGUGCCAGCAGUCGCGGCAACACAAGGGAGACUAGUGUUAUUCAUCUUUAUUAGGUUUAAAGGGUACCUAGACGGUAUAUCAUGCCCCAACAGGGAACGGAUAUACUAGAGUUCUAUGUGAGAGGCAGAUAUAGUACUAUUGGUGUAGAGAUAAAAUUCAUUGAUACCUCUAGGCACGGGUAACGGCGAAGGCAAUCCUCUAUGUAAAAACUGACGUUGAGGGACGAAGGCUCGGGUAGCGAAUAGGAUUAGAUACCCUAGUAGUCCGGGCAGACGAUUAUGAAUGUCAU